CACAUAGAAAAGACAGAAAAUACAGAGUUAAAACACCUUGAGAGGAAAAGAGACAUUAAAAAAAUCAAUCUCUUUUCAAAUUUCACCUUCCCCCCAGAAAUUUUGCCCUAAAAUUUAUUUUAGAUGUUGUUUUUACUUUCAACCACCACAUUUGUUUUCAAAUAUGUCUGGCUUUUCAAAUUUUGUUUGAUUAAAGUUAAAAAACUGUACCACCUCUUUUAUUCCUAUGUUUUUUUUUUUAACAUGUGGAAGUAAAAUCCUGUAAAAAAAUGAGUCCAACGAUUAAAAACAUAAAUAAAAUUAAUCAUUUUAGUCAUGAAAGACAACAUUUGUGGAAAAAAGUAGUAAAACCUGCCCUUGACUCAAUUUAAAAUCAUUUAGGGGGUUGGAAAAUCUUUAAUUUAACAAUUGCGCUUGGAUGAGGAUUUACAAACUACAUGUAUUUGCCACCGUCACGCGUUGACUGUAUAAAAGAGCUAGACUGAGUGAGCUCUUCCAAAUACGACAAAAGGUUUUUCCAAGCAGGUACACUGAAAAAACGGGAAAAGUGGGGUUGUUCAAUUUACAAAUAGUAAACAUGUUUGUUUAAUAUGAACAAAUUAUGUUUACCUUCGAAACAUAAUAUAAUCUUGAAAAUCACACAUCAUUUCUUGCUGUGUUACUUUUAUAUAUUUAAAUCAUGUUGACAAAACAUGAAAUAGUUAUGCUUGAUCCUUUGCCCCUUAAUUUUGGAUCAGUAAACCCCAUCGGUGAAGAAGAAUUCCAGGAGGGGAAACUUUGCAGUCAGCCAUUUUAGAGAAGCUACAAGCACCUGCUCUGGCUGGAGGAACUUAAAAAAGUGCUCAUCACACAACACUUCCAACUGCUCCUCCCUGAUCAUGCUGGGGUCCAUGCUCCAGUCUUCACUGAGUCAGACUGCUGAACUUCUCGCCAAUAUAAGCAAGUUCAGGGGUUUAUUCAAAGUAUAGAAUGAAGACCAUGCAGCACUCCAGGAGGCAAUCGAGGACACCACGGUGGGAAUUUCCCUCCUAAUGGAAACUGGCAGUGGUGAGGAAGAGGACAUUCUCGUGGUCCACAUCUCCCAGGCUGUGGUGGUCGACCCACCAAGUGUCUGAGUGGCAGAUGCCAAGGCUUUUUUGGCCUUAUUUACAGCACAAAUCUGAUUACCAUCCUCAUCUCAGAAACACCUUGUCAUGGGGCCGUGACUUUGCUCCUGCUAUGAUCUCCUGGAGGCCCUUCCCUUCUUGAGCUCUCCCGCUGGUCACAGGUGUUGUGUAUUAUGUUGAUUGGUUUGUCUAUUUAUGCAGUGUCUGAUCUUGUUUCUGUGUCGGAGCGUCUUCGUUCUACGCUCUGGUGUUAUGGUUCUCUGGCAUUAAAGCCCCUUCGAGUGAACUAUUGGAUUUGGGUCGUUCUUCCUGCUCUUGGGUUCUCUCCCUUGGACAUUCCGUCACACACCUUUGAGGUAAUCCAAAAAAAAACUGUAUUAGAGUUGUAAGGCAAAGUGGUGUCUAAGGUUUCAGGCUUAAAGAUCCAACUCUUUGAAUAAAAUGACCUUUAAAUAGUUUAACUUUUUCCUAAGAAGGGAUUCCAGCUGUUUGCUUUGGCUCUGUUAUCUUCUGUUUAAUAAAAAUGGCAAGCCCAA